rnacentral:misc_RNA from 1 species
UACUAAGCCAUUUGAUUUGAAAUAAAUCAUAUAAACCAGUAAUUAUUACUCAGUUUAUAAUAGUAAAACAAGGAAGGACACCUAUCAGAGUUGGUGAGUUCAUUCAAUCGCACGUCUCAGAAACUAUGACCAACCAAUGAAACACAAGAAUCAAUUUCUACUCCUUGUUCUUCAGCCAUUUUUUAUCCCAAAAUCUUAAGCAAACAGGAAGAGAACCAAGGGAAAAGCGAACUAAACUAAACAUUUACAUAUCCCAUCUGAUUGUGAUAGCAACAAAAUCAGAGAAUUGGCGUGGCAAAAUUUCCAGGCAUCAACAGGCACAUCCACCUGA